GCCGCAUUGAAUGCCGUUCUGGCAGGAAAGAUUAUCUUCUCCCCAGCAAGCAGUACUGGAUAUUCUGCAGCAUCUAAAGUGCAGACCAAAAACAAUUUCUUUGACAGGAGGAUCACAGAGGAUACAGAUCCCUUGAAAACUUCUCAAACCUUCCCAUGAAACUUAGGAACACAACCCACGGAAUAAGGAUGAAGUUGCCAGGCAGAUAUUCUGUAAGCCAUCUGUAUGUGCUUGCCUUUAUUACUUUGUCAUGAUAAGGCACCCCACUGCUUGGGAAGGAGCUCUGACAACAUCAUCCAACAGCAGGAUAUACUUCCUCAGCAGGAAAUAAAAAUGGUCAGAGGAAGACGUGGUCUGUAAUCUUCUUAGAAAUUCCAAGUUUAGAAGACAAGAAAGAAAGGAAUAGAGGAGACACAUCAUGCAAGGAAGGAAGAAGAACAAGAAAGGACUUGAAGUUCACCAGAACAUU
rnacentral:lncRNA from 1 species